UACGUAGGGGGCAAGCGUUGUCCGGAGUUAUUGGGCGUAAAGAGCGUGUAGGCGGUCAGAUAGGUCAGCUGUGAAAACUCGAGGCUCAACCUCGAGACGUCGGUUGAAACCGUAUGGCUAGAGUCCGGAAGAGGAGAGUGGAAUUCCCGGUGUAGCGGUGAAAUGCGCAGAUAUCGGGAAGAACACCCGUGGCGAAGGCGGCUCUCUGGGACGGUACUGACGCUGAGACGCGAAAGCGUGGGGAGCGAACAGG
rnacentral:rRNA from 1 species